CUACAUUCAAUGUCACUGCAAAAUGUCCUAUUUCCACGAGUCCUUCCACUAAGCAACAUGGGGUACGCUGGCAAGGAAAUUGUCAUACCUACUUGGCUAAUGGCUCCCAGCAUCUCCCCCCUUCUGAUUAAUUAAACAACAAGCAAUGUGGCUUAAGGACCAUGCCUGGUAGGUUGUCCAAUUCAACAUAUGGUUCUUACCCGUCAUCGGAAAACUGACCUUUAGGCGUCAGCCUCCUGUCUUAGGUUGAUACCACUGCAAUUGAAUCAUACCCGUCACUGACUACCGGUCCAGCAUACAGCCAUACUUGUGGAUAGGUCUAUGCACCAGUGAGGGGUGAGGUUCUUUGCCUCACCUCUGUUGGCCCCCAAAUUUGGCCUUGGUGCCAGUGGGGGAGUGAGGUUAAUGUGGCUUAAGGACCAUGCCUGGUAGGUUGUCCAAUUCAACAUAUGGUUCUUACCCGUCAUCGGAAAACUGACCUUUAGGCGUCAGCCUCCUGUCUUAGGUUGAUACCACUGCAAUUGGAUCAUACCCGUCACUGACUACCGGUCCAGCAUA
rnacentral:lncRNA from 1 species